GACGAACGCUGGCGGCGUGCUUAACACAUGCAUUUCGAACGGAAAGGCCCUGCUUUUGUGGGGUGCUCGAGUGGCGAACGGGUGAGUAACACGUGAGUAACCUGCCCUUGACUUUGGGAUAACUUCAGGAAACUGGGGCUAAUACCGGAUAGGAGCUCCUGCUGCAUGGUGGGGGUUGGAAAGUUUCGGCGGUUGGGGAUGGACUCGCGGCUUAUCAGCUUGUUGGUGGGGUAGUGGCUUACCAAGGCUUUGACGGGUAGCCGGCCUGAGAGGGUGACCGGCCACAUUGGGACUGAGAUACGGCCCAGACUCCUACGGGAGGCAGCAGUGGGGAAUAUUGCACAAUGGGCGGAAGCCUGAUGCAGCAACGCCGCGUGCGGGAUGACGGCCUUCGGGUUGUAAACCGCUUUCGCCUGUGACGAAGCGUGAGUGACGGUAAUGGGUAAAGAAGCACCGGCUAACUACGUGCCAGCAGCCGCGGUGAUACGUAGGGUGCGAGCGUUGUCCGGAUUUAUUGGGCGUAAAGGGCUCGUAGGUGGUUGAUCGCGUCGGAAGUGUAAUCUUGGGGCUUAACCCUGAGCGUGCUUUCGAUACGGGUUGACUUGAGGAAGGUAGGGGAGAAUGGAAUUCCUGGUGGAGCGGUGGAAUGCGCAGAUAUCAGGAGGAACACCAGUGGCGAAGGCGGUUCUCUGGGCCUUUCCUGACGCUGAGGAGCGAAAGCGUGGGGAGCGAACAGGCUUAGAUACCCUGGUAGUCCACGCUGUAAACGGUGGGUACUAGGUGUGGGGUCCACUCCACGGGUUCCGUGCCGUAGUUAACGCUUUAAGUACCCCGCCUGGGGAGUACGGCCGCAAGGCUAAAACUCAAAGGAAUUGACGGGGCCCCGCACAAGCGGCGGAGCAUGCGGAUUAAUUCGAUGCAACGCGUAGAACCUUACCUGGGUUUGACAUGGAUCGGGAGUGCUCAGAGAUGGGUGUGCCUCUUUUGGGGUCGGUUCACAGGUGGUGCAUGCCUGUCGUCAGCUCGUGUCGUGAGAUGUUGGGUUAAGUCCCGCAACGAGCGCAACCCUUGUUCACUGUUGCCAGCACGUUAUGGUGGGGACUCAGUGGAGACCGCCGGGGUCAACUCGGAGGAAGGUGGGGAUGACGUCAAGUCAUCAUGCCCCUUAUGUCCAGGGCUUCACGCAUGCUACAAUGGCUGGUACAGAGAGUGGCGAGCCUGUGAGGGUGAGCGAAUCUCGGAAAGCCGGUCUCAGUUCGGAUUGGGGUCUGCAACUCGACCUCAUGAAGUCGGAGUCGCUAGUAAUCGCAAAUCAGCAACGCUGCGGUGAAUACGUUCCCGGG
rnacentral:rRNA from 1 species